GCAGUCGUACGAGGUGUCCGUUCCGUUCUGGAGAGUGGCGCACGGGUGAGUAACGCGUGGGGACCUACCUCUUACUGGGGGAUAACGGUUGGAAACGACCGCUAAUACCGCAUACGCCCUUCCGGGGAAAGAUUUAUCGCGAAAACAUGGACCCGCGUUGGAUUAGCUAAUUGCCCAGGUAAUGGCUCACCAAGGCAUCGAUCCAUACCUGGUUUGAAAGGAUGAUCACCCACACUGGGACUGAGACACGGCCCCCACUCCUACGGGAGGCCCCCCUGGGGAAUAUUGGACAAUGGGGGCGACCCUGAUCCA
rnacentral:rRNA from 1 species